rnacentral:rRNA from 1 species
CCUACGGGAGGCAGCAGUGGGGAAUCUUGCGCAAUGGGCGAAAGCCUGACGCAGCAACGCCGCGUGCGGGAAGAAGGCCUUCGGGUUGUAAACCGCUUUCAGCAGGAACGAAAAUGACGGUACCUGCAGAAGAAGGUGCGGCCAACUAUGUGCCAGCAGCCGCGGUGAUACAUAGGCACCAAGCGUUGUCCGGAUUUAUUGGGCGUAAAGAGCUCGUAGGCGGUUCAGUCAGUCGGGUGUGAAAACUCUGGGCUUAACCCAGAGCCUGCACCCGAUACUGCUGUGACUAGAGUUCGGUAGGGGAGCGGGGAAUUCCUGGUGUAGCGGUGAAAUGCGCAGAUAUCAGGAGGAACACCGAUGGCGAAGGCACCGCUCUGGGCCGAAACUGACGCUGAGGAGCGAAAGCAUGGGUAGCAAACAGGAUUAGAUACCCUGGUAGUCCAUGCCGUAAACGUUGGGCACUAGGUGUGGGUUCCAAUCAACGGAAUCCGCGCCGUCGCUAACGCAUUAAGUGCCCCGCCUGGGGGAGGUACGGUCGCGAGACGAAACGUAACGUAAGUAGUUAGACGUGUUGAGAGCGCGACGCGACGACGAGGAGGAGG